rnacentral:rRNA from 1 species
GAGUUUGAUUAUGGCUCAGGACAAACGCUGGCGGCGUGCAUAACACAUGCAAGUCGAACGAAAUCUACAUGAUUUAGUGGCGAACGGGUGAGUAACACGUGAGAAACCUGCCUUACACAGAGGGAUAGCCGUUGGAAACGACGAUUAAUACCUCAUGACACCGUGACAUCGCAUGAUGAUGCGGUCAAAGAUUUAUCGGUGUAAGAUGGUCUCGCGCCUGAUUAGCUGGUUGGUGGGGUAACGGCCUACCAAGGCGACGAUCAGUAGCCGAUCUGAGAGGGCGGACGGCCACAUUGGGACUGAGACACGGCCCAAACUCCUACGGGAGGCAGCAGUGGGGAAUUUUGCACAAUGGGGGAAACCCUGAUGCAGCGACGCCGCGUGAACGAAGAAGGCCUUCGGGUUGUAAAGUUCUGUCCUUGGUGAAGAUAAUGACA